rnacentral:sRNA from 1 species
AAAAUAUUUACUCUCUCAUUUCUUCCAGAUACACCCUAUCUUCCUAUUGCCCCGACUUCAUGUUUUAUUGAUUUAUUUUAUUAAUAACCCAUGAGUCCCGUUUGUGUUGCCAUAUACUCCUAGGUGUGCAGGCAUCCCUGAAGCAUGGUUGACCAACCAGGGGCUGUACCCUUAAGGAACCUGAUUCUCCCUCAUCCAGAAGUCAUCAACUGUCUAUGGCUCCCCAAAUAGGGAUGGGCGCUUGCAGACUCCUUCCCCUCACAUGCUAGAAUGAUGGUUGGCUUGUUUAUCAUAUAGGUUUAAACUCUACACAAGAUGGAUUCUCCAGGACUCCUGCAGGCUCCUACAUUCUGGGUACAGACGUGUGUUCUUAUCUACUGGGAUGGGUGGUUGACUUCAGGGGGUUGGGGCUCACAGUUGUCACUGGCAUGGAAUGGUAUGAAUGCUGUACCCUGGAAGAGUAAUGGUUCUGUUACCGUUUGCUUCAUGCAGGGCCGUGGGUAGCAUUGCUGGGUGUUCUCAUCUGUCUGUAGUAAUACUAGCAUGAAGUAACCUUGACAUAUGAGACGCUUGCCCAAGCAGCACCCAUUCUUGCAGAAGUACAGAGGGAGAAGUGCCAGUCUUGGGCCAGGGUGAAGUGUGUAGUUACUGAAAACCUAAUGGUUACUUUCUUUUGUAAUUAAAACUUCAAACUGCCUUCUUCAAACUGCCCUCCAGGUAAGGGGAAUGGAUUCCCCUGUGUCCAAGGGAGAUGAACCUUUCACAAUCUACGACCUGUAGACAAACCGAACAUGGGAAGAAUAUCAUAGUGGGCUGCUUCUUGCUCUAUCCUGGUGCCCUGUGGUGGAUGGGGGACAGCCUGAAGGUGCUGGGUCUCUGGGGACAGACAUUCACAUUGCUGCAUUGCUGAGAAGAUGCCUUGGUCUGGAAGAGCAUCCCAACUGGACAGGCUCUGCUAAGAGCGCUGUGUGGUUUCUAGCCUGCAGGAGGUACGGGUGGCAAACAUUUUUUGUGCCUUGAAUCUGGGUACAUGAAGCAUCUGCUGCGAGCCAGGUAUUUGAGAGGACUCUUGUUUCUAAUGCACCCCGGAUGUUUGUCCUGACUGAAAGCACAGCAGCUUUGUCUGCACCCCUUCCAAGUGUGCAAAGCCAGGUUCUCCACGAUCAGGUGCUCAUUCUGCUGUUUCCCAUUUUCUGCAGAGUCUCCAGUUUGCCUUGGUCCCCCACUGUUCCUCUUUCAUCAGAAUGACCAAAGCCUGGUCCUUACCACUGCACACUCUAGUUGCUCUAAUUAAACAUUCGAGACCCACCAGGGCAACUCCCUUGCAAUCCUUGCCAUCUUCCAGCUCAUUCUGUUCUUGUCUCUUGGUGGGAAUGCACAGAGACAAUUCAGGGAGGGGAGAGGUCACAGUGACAUUAAGUUGAACUGGGAUAGAUUGGGUUCAGACCUCCUUGAGUACCAGGAACCCUCACCUCAGGAGUCCUUACCUGAUUUCUGCACGGUGCCAAUAGAUGGACUGGAUCAAUGCUCUCCUAGUGACAUGAGUGACCCUCGCUCUGGAACUCAUGGGAAAUGCUAGUUCUGAGUAGGCACCAGAGCACACAGUAGCUGUGUCUUAGCAUGCCUGGGGAAGUGAGAGAGUUCCCAAAGUUCGAGGCCUGGUUAAAAUGAAUGCAAAGCCUCCUUUGAAAGGGACAGCUUAUGCCUAUUGCCUUGACUUGUGGGAUGGCCAAUAGGCAAGGGGGGCGGGGCUUACCCAGAGGAAACAAAACACACAGUCACCCUGGAAGCCGCUUCCAGGCUUCACAGAGUAUGGCAUUACUUGGAUUGUGUUCCACAUUAUUCCCCCACCCCCAACCUCCAGCAAAAGCUGACAGGAGACCCGUGGGAAGGCCCUGAUGUCCCUGAAGAGCUGUUCUUGUCCUGAACAGUCCUUGAAAAGGCUUCCUAAGGCAGCACCUGGAGAGCAGGGCAGACGGCAGCUUUGAGCCCGUCAGAGCAGAUACAGUUUCUCCAUUCGUUCCUGGCACAAUUGGAUUUUCCUUGCUACAUCAAGGCACGUGAAGAUCGCUGGUACUUAGGAAGUGGGACCUCCAACCCAGGAGAAGAUUCUAGAAAGUGUGGCAUAGGCUGAGCAUAUGUGAAGGGGAAUGUGUACUCUGCAUUGGGAACCAUGCCAAGUGCCCGUGUUAUAGUCUGGAUAUAAAAUGGUCCACUGGAGGCUUGAGACAUGGCCCAGAGGCUACUAGUGCCUGCCGCUGUUGUAGAAGAAAUAGGUUCAAUCCCUGGAACUUACAAUGGCUUGUAACUCUUGGAGAUGUGAUACCUUCUUCUGGCCUUUGAUUUCUCUAUAUAGCCCUGGCUGUCCUGGAACAGGCUGUGGAGACCUGCGGAGACCAUCUUGGCCUUGAACUCAGAGACCACUGCCACACACUACCACAAAAACAUACAUCUUUCACAAAAGGUUUGUGUGCAGAAGGUUUGGUCUCCAGGUGAGUUAUGACUGGAGCACAGUAACAUCUACUCCAUCAACUGAUUACAUCACUGGUGAGCUCUUAGCAAGUGGACAUAAUGUCUGGUUGGAGGAAGUGUUCACCAGAAGUCACCUUUCUACCCAUGCACAGUACUACCCUGCAAACUCUUUUUUGAUGUUGUUAUUAAUUAUUAUUAUUAUUAUAUUUUUAAUUAGCUUGUAAAAUGGCAUAUUUUCUACUGCCCUCUUUUCCCUGAUAAAGGAAGCAGAUGUGCCUCUGAAAGGUGUACAUUGGUUCUGGCUUCUCUCUGUCUGGGUCUCUGUCUGUCUGUCUGUCUUGGACAUGUGAAGAGCUUCUUUGUCCCAGUAAUAUUCCCAUGACUAUGGUGUGCUGCCUUGCUACAGGCCUCCAGUGGUAGAACAAAGAAACCAUGGAUUUAUACGAUGGAAAUUGUGAGCCAUAAGAAACCUUCCUUCUUUUUAAGUUGAUUUCUCAGGCAUUUUGUCAUAGUGAUGGAAGUCUGGUUAACUCAGCUGACAAACAUGUUCUGAAAAGUCAUAUGCAGCCCACUAUUUUGCAAGCAAAUUAAAAAUAUAACAACAACAACAACAACAACAACAACAACAACAUUAACGACAGAAGAGUUUUUAGGGACGUACUCUGCAGGAGUAGAUGCUGUUGCUCCCAGAAGCCACCAGUUAUUAAACAAAAUUCAUAGCUUUGGCAUGAUAAUGCUUUAUGAAAUUGUUGAUCAGGGAGGCCCUCAAGGCCCACAAUACAGUCUCUUGGUAAUGCCCUAUGUUGCCCACUGGCAUUAGAUAAGGAGAUCUUAUUGCUGACGUUAACAUAUGCUCUAUUCAGGAUAGAGAAACAUCAAGCAGAAGCUGAACUAGAAACUCCCUCCUUUCUGGUUAGCUUUCAUGACACCAGAAGGUGUGAUGUAGGCUGCAGAGUAAGAAAAGCUGUCAGCCUCUCUCUCCGCUGUCAUCCCUAGGAGCUACAAUACCAUCCCACCAGGCAGGAUGUGCCCACUUGUAUGCUAGUAUCAUGCACACACUCCUUCCUCCCCUCAAAUGUGAUAUUCACAACUGGUCUUUUAAUUCUGUAAUCUAAAUACUCAGUAUGGGACCUCCAGGCUGAUGGAUGUGAGCCUAUUUCUCCCUCAGUUGUUUGGACUUAGCUUGUUUAUAUUUGAUCUUGGCUUUGCCUUUUUAACUGCAUUAUGCAAUUACAUCCUGUCUACUCUAUCUUCUCCAUUGUUAACUGUUCAUACUUGGGUUGUGGUGUAUUUCAAAUUCAAGUGGCAUUCCUGGCUAUAUUUAAAACACACAAUAUGUUAUUUAGGAGGAACAGAGACAAAAGAGUAGAUAUUUUAUUUAUCCUUCUAAUUUAAAUUUUUAUUGUUUUGAGAAUUUCAUACAUGAGAACAAUAUUUAUAUCAUUGUAUCCUUACUUCGCUCACAUCAGCAAAGGUCACUGGAAGCAUCAAUUACUUAUGAUUGUCCCUACGCUUCCACUUCCUCUCCUUCUGUCACUUUUCUUCUAUAAUAUAAUGGGGAGCCCAGACUGUGGGGUUCCAGGUUCACCCAUAAUCAGCUACUUCCAGUUUUCAUCACGGCUUCCCCUUAAGGAUCCCAACUCAAUUCCCUGCCUUACUGUUCGGUGCUUCACCAGAAAUGGAUGCCCAGCCCCACAAAAGGAGGUCACCACUGUGUAUGUCAUGGGGAGGCAGAGCUAUUUUGUAGACUCAUAACUCUUAGUGAGAAAGAAAAAUCAGGUCAUCUUGCUCUUUAAAGACUGCUGAUCUGGAUGCAAAAUUCAGAUGUCAAAGAAUCAAUUCAAUGACUUCAAGGAGAUGCCAAUAAAGCUUAACUUAGGAUAAGAUUCCUCCAGCCAAAACAGCAGCGUCCCAGAAGCAUCCCCUGACAAGGAUCCAGACCAUCAGCAGUGGUCGAAGCAGGGAGAAGUACACUGGAUGGGACAGUCAUUAGGAGAGCGGGCACUUGUAGAAGUGACAUGAACAGAGGGACAGCACUGGGGAACACAUAAGGACAUGGAGUGAAGCCCCGAGAAGCAGGGCAGAGGUGGAGGAAGCUGAAUGAGUAGAGGUGAAGUGAGCUGGUUGACCCUUGAGUGGUAGAGGAGAUAGACUUGGGUGGGACUUUCAGGUACAGAGAAAUGCCAUGGUGAGGGGUAGCGGAUUGGGAACAUGAUGAGCACAUUUGGAGAUUAGGAUUUCAGGUUCAAAGUCACUUUACCUUGGGAGUCUGUUUUUUAAUAUGGCCACAGAUGACUUAAUGAUAAGGACCCCUGUGAAGUGAGUCAUCAGGCAGUUUCUGUCACCCGGCAGAUUUCACAGAACAUACUCCAGUACAGACAGAACAGCACUGCUUGGCUUGUCUUCUUGGCCUCAUACCUUGCUGGGAGGCUGCACACUGGGGUAUUGUGGGAUUUAGCAAUGGCUGAACAAGGUUUAUUUAUUUUUUGAAAAAUGAGCCUUGUUGAAACAAAAAUCUGCUUUUAAUUAUAGCUCAUUUGACCGCAGUCCUGUGGAGUAGGACUCUGGGCAGUGGGUGCUGAGCUGUGUCGAGUGUUAGGAGAGCUGGGUUCUAGGUCUGUGGGAUGCUGACCCCUGACCAACCAUUAUUUCCUCUCUGCAGCCUCAAUUUUCUUGUCUGGAUGUGCAUGGGUUUGGAUCACCCCCUGGGUGCUCUGUAGCCCUUGUUCUUUCCCAUGAUGGGAUUCUAGCAGGUUCUACUUCAUCAAUCUUCUGCUGCCCUGGAAAGCCAGUGGUGGCUGAGAAAAAUCUUUCUGUCUUUGCUUCUUUUCUAUGCUUAGAACACCCUUCACUCCUUGUCUUCUUGGAGUCUGCUUCUUCACCCAGAAGGACUGAACUUCAGAGCUCCUGGAAGGCUACACCUUCUGAGAUCCUCUAUGACCUGGGCACAGUAGGAUGGAGGGGUGACAUCCAGAAGAGAUACUUCUAAGGGGCCGAGGAGGAUUCUCAAAGCAAGUCUCAUCUUCUCUCAGCAAGGAGAAAAACAAGGAAACAAAAGAGCUGGGGGAUUGGCUACUCAAUUCUCAAUUUUGAGGAAAAUCUAAAGGAAGUCACAGGACCAUGGUCAAUGGCACUGUGUAGGGUCUCAGGAGGGCCUGGCCUCUCUGACUUCCUAUCCAGCAGCCUUUCUGCUCUGGGCUUUGAUCUUCCACCACAACUGGAGUCUGCCUGGAUCUUCACACUCUUCCCCAGGGCUGCCAUGCUAGGAACAUCUCUAGGAAAGACCGGCACAUGCAGUGUGUGACAAGCUGUGCGAUGCCACUUCACUGAGAUCAAUGCUGAGGAAAGAACAGUUUGUACCUUGUGAAGUUAGAAAACCAUCAGACAGAUGACUGUCCUCAGGCAGAGGACAAUUACCUAAAGCUGGCUGGCAGGAGUCCUGCACUACGGAAUGAAGAUCCCGUGCAAAAGAAAUGCUGGGGCUCGAGAACAAUGAAUGGACAGAGGAGGGUGGUUCCUGGGAUCUCUCUUCUAUCCAUUUGUUCCAAGGGCACCUGAGUUCUCAGAGUUCUCUAAGUUCUAAUGUGGCAAGGGUGUGUCCAACCUUGUUGAUUGUUUUUAGAAAAGGCACAAAGAGUCAUUUGUACUUUGGUCUUUGGGUCAGGAGUCUUCAGGUCCAACAUUUUGUUAGGUCUGAUAGACUUCUAGGACUGGCUGGGCUCAGAAGCAAUUAUACACUAUUAUUAUUAUAGGAAGAAAGGGUGUGAGAAACUAUGAAGAAUUAGGCAUAGAUAUUUAAUUCCCCAGUAACACUGGGGAAUGUAAGGCAUGCAUGUAAGGCAUGACUGAGCAGAUGUUUCUAUAAGUAUUAGUGCCCAUGUAAUGCCUGUGUGACUAACACCAGCCUCUUAAAGCUGGAUUCUUGCUGAUUGAAUUGGUACAACAUUGACUGAGACUCAAGGGCUCAAACAAGCCAAUAUGUGUUUACAAGGUAGAACUUUCUAAGGAUGUAGUUCUCCCAGGGGAUGGCCAUUGGUCAGUCCUGGUUCCAGAGGUUUACCAGGAAUGUCUAGGGUUUGAGUAACCCAGAUCUGUUGACUGAAGUUCCCAUCCAUUUUUCCUUUGUAUUUUAGGAUUAAUUUGUCACAUUCCACAAAAUACCCUUGUUGGAAUUCAUAUGUUGAAUAUAGAAAAAUAAUCAGGAUGAAAUGCUUUUCUUUUUGAUAAUGAUUUUUUUCGUGUUAUUUUCUAUUUGUAAAGUGCUUUAUAUCCUGUAGAAUGUUUACAAAUGCUUUAAUAAAGUCUUAUCCAUCUUCUCUUUGAUUAUUUCCGCACAUUUGUUAAACUUGGUCCACAAACAUUUUGGCUGUCAUUGUAUUCUCUAGUCCACAGCAGAGGGUAUAGGGGACUAUUAUUAUUUUUUGUAUAUUGGACUUGUAGCCAACAACCCUCUUGGUCUUCCUUUACAGCUUUAUUGUCUAUAAAUUCUUCCUGGAAAUUUCUUUAGAAAAUGUAUUGGUUUCAUAUGGCAACAGUAAGAAAAUACUAUAUAUUUAGUGGCUUAAAAGGACAUAAGUCUCCUCUCUUAUGGUUUUGGAGGCUGUAUCAAAUUGUUCUCACUGGGCUGCAUGCAUAGCAGGGCUCUUAGAGAAUCUGUAAUCUGUGUACUUGUCUAGCUUAUAAAAACUACCAGAAUUCUUUGGCUCUUGAUCCCUGGCUCAUAUCACUCCAGCUUCUUGUUCUUUUGGUUUCAUAGCCCUCUUGUCAGUGCCCAUGAUUACAAUGGGUCAGAUCAAGCCUAUGAUAACUCAGACUAAUGGUUCAAAGUGGAAACUCUUGACUUUAUCAAAGUGGCAGCAUGAUUAACUGGCAAAGUAAUUAUCAUGGACUUUGGGAAUUAGGGUAUGGAUAUCUUGGGUAACCAUUUUUCAUUACACAAUCACAUUGUUUAUAAAAAAAGGUGUUUUCACUUUUAAAUUCAUAUACCUUUUAUUUCUUGUCUGGAUUGUUAGGAUUAUUAAAGACUCUCAAUACAUAUCCAGUAGACACUGACUUAGUAAGCCUUUAUUCUGACUUCCAUGGUAGUAUUUGUAAUAUUUCUCCAUCAUAUUUCUGUUUGCUGUGGUGUUGGCUGGUAUUAAAUCAGUGUUACAAGAUGUGUUGUUACGACUUCACGAUGCCGAUUUUGUGGUGUUUAUGUUCUCUGAGUAGCUUCAGACUUGUUUAAUCACCCACUGCUGCUUAAUAGCUUAAAUGCUGGUGUGGGCACCCUCACCUUACACGCUCAUCUGCUGAGGUUGGCCUGGCUAGCUAAUCUGGGCUGGGGCCACUCCUACCAUUUAGUUGCUCCAUUGAUAAUACGGAAUGGUUCAGUCUGAUGUCAGCUGCAUUUCUGCCUGUGAGCUGCUCUCCCUUGUCCUCCAUGUAGCCUCUUGGGGAGGAUGGCUCACAUUUCCAACAUUAAGGCAGUGUGUUACAAGACAGAAAACCUGUAACAGCCUCUCUGUAGCUUUCAUUAUAUCUACUGAUGUCUUUUGGGCCAAAGCAAGACACAAGACCACCCUGAGCUAAUCUGGAAGGGUUGCAUAGGAUUGUUAGAUUUCAACAAUGGCUAAGAGUACCUCCUAUGUGGGCUUUGGUGUCUGCCUUGCCAUGCAUAUUACCUUCAAAUCGCUGCCUUCCCACACCUUUUCACCGUACAGCCCCUUCGCUGGUGGACGUAGAAGGAAUGUGGUGAAACACCUAGUUUUCAGAGUUAGCUCUGGGGAGAAAUCUCAAUAUUGGUUCUCAAAUAUGGCCACAAGCCUCUAUCCCAAACACAAUGCCAUUUUAGUUUUAGUAUUGUUCAUGAUAACCGUUUUCAGGCAAAGGAGAGCUUUGCAGACCCUUCUGUCUUGGUUCCCUCUAGCCUCCUUUUCACCACUCUCUACUUCACCAAACAGACAGGUGAUCUUUUCUUUAUUAUUGUUUCCAAAUUGAAAGUGUGUAAUAUCAUUCUGUCCUUUGCUCUGUUUUAGUUUCUCCCUCUCUCCUACCCUUCCUGACUCCCUCCUUGCAGCUCUGCCCUUUGUAAUUUUUAGCAUUCUUAUUAUAGGCUAAGAUUAUAAAGAAGGGAUGCUUAUAUAUCCUUCAUUCUCAAGUGUGGUUGAGUUUAUGUGCUAUUCAGGAAGCCCUGGGUACUUUAGUGAUGAACAGAGCAGAGGACACUUAUGAGCAACUGUGGAGUAGUUAAAAUGAUGGAUAGAGAAAUAUGGGGUAGUGUUCAGCCUCUGGUCAGGUCACUGAGGAGAAAGAAAGGAGUAAUUAAAGUGGCUGGAUAAUGUGUCUCACUGAGAAAAAGCCUCUGCAGGCUCUGAGCAGUCAGCAGGGAUGGGGCUGAGGGAAGGGAAGAGGUGAUCUGGAGAUGGCUCAUUAGCAUGGAAAUGAAAGAAGAGGUGAGACACUGAAUAUCAACAGAAGGAGGGAUCAGGUCAAGUGCAGCCAGAGAAGGUCCCACUAUCCAGGGAGUAAUUUGCACUUCUUAGGCUCCAAUUUCAGGGCAGAAUGGGAAUCCCUCCUCUACUGACUCCUCUGUUGCUAGUGAUAAUUUCUCUACCAUCAUUCUGAACAUUGAGAAUAGAAAAUGACUAUCAUAUUUGGAAUUAGCUGUUCCUUCCCCAAAAUAUCUGGAUGAGUCACAGGGAACUUUCCCCUCAGCCUAUUAGGUCAGACAGGACUCUCUCUCACUGUCAGAGAUGGGUGUGGUCCCUGCUUGU